UACGGGGGGGGCAAGCGUUGUUCGGAAUUACUGGGCGUAAAGGGCUCGUAGGCGGCCAACUAAGUCAGACGUGAAAUCCCCAGGCUCAACCUGGGAACUGCGUCUGAUACUGGAUGGCUUGAAUUCGGGAGAGGGAUGCAGAAUUCCAGGUGUAGCGGUGAAAUGCGUAGAUAUCUGGAGGAAUACCGGUGGCGAAGGCGGCAUCCUGGACCGGCAUUGACGCUGAGGAGCGAAAGCUAGGGGAGCAAACGGG
rnacentral:rRNA from 1 species